UGGGGAAUAUUGGACAAUGGGGGAAACCCUGAUCCAGCAAUGCCGCGUGAGUGACGAAGGCCUUCGGGUUGUAAAGCUCUUUCGCCCGCGAAGAUAAUGACGGUAGCGGGAGAAGAAGCCCCGGCUAACUCCGUGCCAGCAGCCGCGGUAAUACGGAGGGGGCUAGCGUUGUUCGGAAUUACUGGGCGUAAAGCGUACGUAGGCGGAUGCGCAAGUUGGGGGUGAAAUCCCGGGGCUUAACCUCGGAAUUGCCCUCGAAACUGCACGUCUUGAGACAGGGAGAGGUAAGGGGAAUUCCUAGUGUAGAGGUGAAAUUCGUAGAUAUCAGGAAGAACACCAGUGGCGAAGGCGCCUUACUGGCUCGGUACUGACGC
rnacentral:rRNA from 1 species